AAUCAGUGAAACUGAUCUCUCCGUGAAGAAGCGGGGAUACAAAUAUAAGACGAGAAGACCCCAUGGAGCUUUAAACCCAACGACACCCGUUUUCUUUAUACCCUAGUAUUCAUUUGGCUAUGUUUGAUUGGUUUUAGGUUGGGGUGACCACGGAGCAUAAAAUAACCUCCACGAAGAAGAGACUAAUAAUCUUUAUCAAAGAAGUACACUUCUAAGAAUUAACAAAUUAAUUUCCAA
rnacentral:rRNA from 1 species